rnacentral:rRNA from 1 species
GAUGAACGCUGGCGGCGUGCCUAAUACAUGCAAGUCGAGCGAACAGACGAGGAGCUUGCUCCUCUGACGUUAGCGGCGGACGGGUGAGUAACACGUGGAUAACCUACCUAUAAGACUGGGAUAACUUCGGGAAACCGGAGCUAAUACCGGAUAAUAUAUUGAACCGCAUGGUUCAAUAGUGAAAGACGGUUUUGCUGUCACUUAUAGAUGGAUCCGCGCCGCAUUAGCUAGUUGGUAAGGUAACGGCUUACCAAGGCAACGAUGCGUAGCCGACCUGAGAGGGUGAUCGGCCACACUGGAACUGAGACACGGUCCAGACUCCUACGGGAGGCAGCAGUAGGGAAUCUUCCGCAAUGGGCGAAAGCCUGACGGAGCAACGCCGCGUGAGUGAUGAAGGUCUUCGGAUCGUAAAACUCUGUUAUUAGGGAAGAACAAAUGUGUAAGUAACUAUGCACGUCUUGACGGAACCUAAUCAGAAAACCACGGCUAACUACGU